GGUGGUUCCUCCACCAUUUUCAUGCUCCACACCACUACAAAAACCACUUAUACCCUCACCCAUUUCUAGUUCCCCUUGUGCCCGGUUCAUAAGAGGGGCGUAAGAACCCCUUCGAAGCGAUUUUUGUGGCUUGUCAUCUUGCAGUGCAGCAGGGGCGUCGUAGAUAGGUCUUGCAGGUUUUGGAGUUUCCUUGCAUUGCAUAUGGGGGGGGAUCGAGUGAGAACCUUGACGCGUGCCCUGUUCGAACCAUUUUUGACGCUACAUGUGAUUUCGAAUUGAAAGUGUGUAUGUUUUGGUUGAGGCAUGAGUCCUCCUUUUGAUGUAAUUCGUUCCGCUGCAAAGAUUUAUAUCGUUUUAUAUUUUGUUAUAGUAUCUUGAAUGGCUUGUACAGUGGAUUAUCUUUUUGCUUGGAAAACCCAAGUGUUUACAUGGGAACCACGAUCCAUGCUUAGCAUGUCGACAGAGGUUUUGGCGAUGACCUUUCCGCCGUGAUUCUGUUACGAGGCCAUUGAUGCCUCUUCAUUAUGAUGAUUUAUCGUUUGUCUAAAUCUUCGGCGCGUCAAAUUUCAAGGCAGAUGCUGCCGAAAUUUCCGUAGGAUUUUGUUUGGAAGUUUUCAAACGUCAUCUCUUUCUUUUUCCUAUUUAAAUAAUUAUUUAUUUCUACAAGUGACACCCUUGAAGGGUCUGAAAUUCAGGGGUGUUACAGGUGGUAUCAGAGCCAGUGGUUCCUAUCUUUCCCAAACGCUUCGUGUUUUCUCUAGUACUUAUUCCUGUUUUGUUUUCGAAGUUAAACUGCUUUGAGAGUAUGGGUAGACAUGGGUUAGGUGCAUUUAUAUAUGCCUGCAUUUUGAGUAUUAUUGCACAUGAAUUUG